AACGAGCUGCGGCUGUAAUUGUGCUGCUCGCCGUCGGCGCCUGAAGUGCCUCGUUUUCAGCUCGCCGUUCGAGUGUUGGAUCAAUGCCGAACCGGCGUUCCUGUAGCUGGAUCCAGAGGAGGGGCGUGGCCUAACAGGAGUCUGCGUACGUGGAGGAGCGUCACGUGCGCUCGUAGGGUCUGGACGAGGCGUGCACGUGCUUCAUUUGCAGGCUGUUGUGCGUGCACGGUGUGUGUCCUUGUGUUUGCUCGAUGCGGCAAAGGGUGGAGUGGCAGAUCAAUAGGAAACAAAUUAAUUCAGAUCAAUAAGAAGCCGAGGAGUGAAGGAGAGAGAAGGGGAGUGGGCUGAUGCACCAUGAGGAGGAGGAGGAGGAGGAGGAGGAGGAAGGCUGCUGCUCCCCGUCGAUGUGUUUCCUAACGGCACACCUGGGAGGACUGUCGUUCUGGAGCGGCGCUCGGAGGUCACGGACGCUCACGAGGGAGGGGGCAGAAAAGAUCCUCAUCGGUGCUUCUCCUUCAGACGCUGCAGCUGUUUAACGUCCUCUGAUGUCUGCAGCGUUUCUUCCUUCAUCCACAAUUCAGUUAUCUCCGUGAAAACUGACGAGAAAAAGACUUUUGAGUCAGAAACGUCUGGAGUUUGAAGAGGAAACACUGAUGAGAAUAAAUCAAAUCAGCUCAAAGCUGCUGCUGAGAUUUACACGGAACUCCAGCAGGAAGAUCGCUGUGAGACGGAGCAGCUUCCGACUGUGUCUCUUUAUGUGUCUGCCCCCCCAGCACUGCGUUCUCUUUGCUCGCCAUCUCCCUCUAAUGCGUUUUGGCGUGCGUUACCCACGGCUGUUUGAGCGCCGCCGCCACACCCCCCCGAGCCAGGUCAGUGGUGCGACUCCAUCAGUCACCCCCCCACACCCAUCUGAGGCCGUCAGUGGUGGUGAGCUUGACUGACACCAACCAAAGUUGACGGAGUUACGUCAGACGUUUGGGAAAAAGUUCAGAGUCCAGACGAUGGAGGGAGGAGCUUGUUCACGCCGACGUGUUUCAGACGGCGAUCGUUUGAAUCCUUCAUGAUUCCCUCUAAACGCCUGAACCUCCAUUAGGUUCUUCAGAGAGAAUUCAGUUCAUCUCCACAGUUUACUCUUAUUUUAUUGUAAUUUACCUGCUACCUCAACAUAACAAAGUCUUUUUUACUGAA